ACCAAUCUGAGGAAAGGCAGGAAGGCAAUCCUCCAAUGGGAGCUGAGGAGCCCGCGGUUGUGUGGAGCAUCGCUACCCUGCCAGGGCUAGGCGGAGCGUUGCGUGAAGCGUCCGUGUAUCUGCGAGAUCUUGCUGUGGGCCAGGUAUCCAUUCUCCUGUGGCAGCCGUAGAACCUACGGAGACUAGAGGUCCGUGGGUGGUGGAGGAUCCUUUGCGUAGCAAAAAAGGAAGGCGAGUGCUCCUGCAUCCUCUCCAGACGAUACCCAGAACAUCCACCAUUAUUAAAACCAUCACCCUGCAGCUAGCUUGGACAUCAUUAAAAGGGCUCAUCAGAAGUAUCUGAUAUUCAUGAAGACAGAGUUUCAGGGUUUCUGCCUGGAGCUACACCCUCCAGGAGCCCCUGCUUGGCUUCCCCUGCACCCAGCCCCAUCUCAACCCGUUACAACUUGGGCUGUGCAUGGUGUUUCUUGGAAACUGGAACCCAGACUCCUCCGACUGCUCUCCAGGCCCUUUGUCCUCGAUGAGCAGAAGACCACAGAAGCUGGCUACUGAAGAGGCUGGCCUUGCUUAGCACCUUUACCACAGAGCAGUCUCUGAGUGCUGACCACCUGCAGGGACUACAGAGAGAUUUGUCAGGCCCACACUUCACUAAGGACUACUCUCUAGCGAUCUGUCAGAAGAGGCUCUACUAGAAAGGCGUGGUCUUCCUAGGGUUUACUGCCUUGGGUCCUACCUGAGCAGCUGUAGGGCUGCAGACAUCAGGAGCUCUUUACCUAGCUCUAAUCCAUAUCCCAAGUAGAAAACUGUGUACUUUUGUUUCUCUAUCCUUCUGGUAAGAAGAGUUUUCAAUAUUGCUUCUGUCCCAUCAGUAGUUGUGGGACUACUAAGAAUUUAUUUUUCCUCUUGAGUAAACUUUGGAUAUAGUUCCUUAGGAAUUGGUCCAUUUUGUCUGUGUUUUCAAUUUCACUGGCAUCAAGUUCCCGUUUUGAAAGUCUCUGCUCUGUCCUAUCUGUAGCUAUGUCUCCAUUUUCAUUGCUAAUACUGGUUAUUUGCGCCUUCUCCCUUUUCUUCUUGAUCAACCUCAGCAGAGGUCUGUCUAUUUUAUUAGUCUUUACAAAGAACCAACUUCUGGCUCUGCUGCUCCUCUCGAUUGUGUCUUUGUUCUCUAUUUCUUUAAUUUCUGCUCUGAUCUUUUUUGACCUCCUUCCUUCCACGUUUUUUGGAUUCAUUCUGUUGCUCUUUUUCUGAUUUCUUCAAUUGUAUGUUGAGUUCAUUCAUUUUUCAGUCUUGCCUCUUUUUUUUUUUCCGCCCCUUUGCUUGGUUUAAUGUUUGUUUUGCUCACUGAUCUAUAGCUCAGGCUCACCUCAAACUCACAAUGAUCUUUUCCCUUACCCUCCCAAGUACAGGGAUUGCAGGUGUGAGGCACUGAGCUUAGCUUUCAGUCUUUCUUGUUUUCUAAUUUAUCUAUUUGAAAGCUAUGAAUUUCCCAAUAAUACUACUCUCAAACAUGAUCAUCUGCGGAAGUAAUUUCAUGGCUGUUCAGUUCCAAGUGCUUCAGUAUAUCUAUUAUUAUUACUUCUUUGACUCGUGAAUUAUACAGAAGUAUGUUUUUAAGUUCCCAAAGGUUUGGGGGAUUUUUAAGUUUGUUCUUUUAUUGAAACCUAUCGUGUUCAGAUGCUGUGGUCUGUGUGGUAACUCUGAAAUUUAUUGAGAUUUGUUCUAUUGCUUGGUACACAAUUGAUAAUUAUUGUUUCCUAUGUGCUUUAUAAGAAUGUAUGUCCUCUAAUUAUUGAAUAUAGAAAUCUUUGUGUGUCUAUUUGCAACUAUCUUAUUCAAAUUAUAUUUAUCUAAACUGGUUGCUUUUGUUAUGAUCUACCAAGAGUUUUUAAAGUUAACUCUGACAGUGGAGUGUUUUCUUCUUAUAGUUUCCCUUUUUUAACAUAAAUUAAGAAUUGUUAUAUUUCUUGUAAAAGUGUAAUAUCCUUCUCUAUUCCUGAUGACAGAGGAAUUAUGCCAGGUUAUCUUGUACUAAUGUAACAGCACAAGCUUUUCUUCUUGUUAGGGUUUGGGUGGUAUAUAAUUUUCUAUCUUUUUACUUUUAAGAAUUUUUUACACCUUUGUGUUUUAAUUAUAUUUCUUGAAAACAGCAUAUGGCUGGACUUUUUUUAAAAAAAAUAAACUAAUCUUGGGCUGGGCGUGGUGGCGCACGCUUUUAAUCCUAGCACUUGGGAGGCCAAGGCAGGUGGAUCUCUGCAUUUUAGGCCAGCCUGGUCUACAGAGUGAGUUCCAGGCCAGUCAAAGCUAUACAGUGAGACCCUGUCUCAGAAAAAAAAAAAGCUUAUCUAAUGACCUCUGCCUUUAAAACUUAGCAAGUUUAGUUUACAUUUGCUUCAGGGGUGUUUGGAAUUGUUUCUGCCAUUACUUUCUUGUUUGGAUUUUUCUGCUACUUUUGUAUGCUUCCUUUUCUCCUUUUUCACCUUUCUUUUUUUUUUUUUUUUUUUUUUUUUUUUUUAGUUUUAGGUUUUUUUCUAUUUUCUACUCUUUGUUUAUUCUUGAUGUUCUACCAUGAUUGUUUAACUUACAAAGUUCAAACAAUAUUUCAGUUUUCUUGAAGAAUGCGGGAAGCUGAGAAACUCGAUUUUUAGUCGUUCCUCUCCUAAGCACUUGAUUUUGUUUUUAAGUAUGUAAAUUUAUUCCUUGUUUUUUGCUUGUUUGUUUUGUAAUUUCCUAGUUAUAUAUUAUUGGUAUUGUUUGUAUAGACAGACAGUAUUUGUUCAGAUGUACAUGCAUACAUUCUAGCAUCUCAGACCCCCCGUUAUGGCAUUAUUCUCUUUCCUUAUGAAAACAGUGUGUGUUUGUUGUUUUAGUUCAGUUCUCCUGUUAUAAAACUCCCUGAAUCUUUGCUGUGAGUUAAAGGCUUUAUCUUCCUCCUUAGGAGAGCUUGCUCAACCUUUAAAAUACGUGUAUAUGCCUCGUUGCCUUUAAAAAGUACAUCAUCAGUCUAAUUGUGGUUUGCUUUCAUUUGGUUAGUGAGUGGGGUGCACAGGGAACACUGUGCUCAUUCCAACGUGUUUAGACUUGUUUCUUUCUUAUUUAUUCUGCUUUUGAAACGUGUUUCAUGGCUUAGUAGAUGCAUGGAGUUUUUUUUUUUUUUUAUAAUUUCUGGAAAGUUAUUAACUAUUAGAGUCUUUCUGGGUCUUUUUUUCCCUCAGAAUCCAGCUACUUGUAUUUUGUACCUCCUGUUUUUCAUAACUCAUAACAACUCUUUGAUAUUUUCUGUCUCCUGGUACUUCAUUUGAGGACAUUUCAUCAGGUAUAUAUUUUAGUUUAUUCUCUUCUCCAGCUCUGUUUAAUCUGCCUUCUGAUUUUUCCAUUGAGUUUUUUGUGGUUUUCUUUGUAAAAGGUUCAUUUACUUUCUAGUCUUUUUUUGUGUCCCUAAUUAAGUCAUUUGUUGCUUGUUCAAAUUGUGAUUACAUCUACUACUUCUUUAAGCCUAGCUUUUGUUAAAUCAGAAUUCACCUUUUUUGUGUAUGGCAUUGUAAAUAUUGUUCACAUCUGAACUACACAGCACACUGACUAUAUCCUCUCUACUGUGCACCUUUUUGUUUUCCUAAAAUCCAGUGUUCUAGGAAUUGUUAUUUUUUUUCUUUUCCUGGUGGUGUAGCACUUGCUACUAAUUCUCAAUAAUUCUAUAAGAAUUAAAAAUUCUUCUUUAGAAAUUAUUUGUGGAAUCCAAAUCAGAUCAUGCCCCUAGUCUGCUGAAAAUUCUCCCAUGACCCCUAAUCCCCUCAGUACACAAGCCAGAGUCAUCUCCAUGGCCUAGAUGUUCCUACACAGGCUAGAGCCUUCACAUCCUUCUUCUCAUUGCUAUCGACCUAAUGCUUCUCUAGCUAGCCUGGCCUUUUUCCUAUUCCUCAAGCAUGCUAGGGACCUUCCACCUGCAGGGCCUCUGUAUUUGCUGUUUUCACUACCUGUGACAUCCUUCUUCUCAAAUAAUUUGAUGACUUAACUAAGUAUUCCUAUUACGUUUUCCCUAGAGAAGUAUUUCCUAACCAACAUAUAUAAAAUAACCAUAUUCCUCUCCAUGUUGUGUCUUAUCCUAUUUUAUGUUCUAUCUUCCUCAAAGCACUGAUCACUAUUUGAUAUAUCUUUAUUUAUUGUGGUUAGUGUUUGUCUCUACCAAAUAACCUGUAAGCUCCUCAAAACAGAGAUUUCUGUGUUGUUUACUGCUGUAACUCCAGUGUCAAGAACAGUGUGUAAUGAUAUUCAGUGAACAUUCAAUAAAAUAUUUGUGAAAUAAA